rnacentral:rRNA from 1 species
UACGUAGGGACCGAGCGUUGUCCGGAUUCAUUGGGCGUAAAGAGCUCGUAGGCGGCUGUUCAAGUCGAACGUGAAAACUCGGAGCUCAACUCCGAGCCUGCGUUCGAUACUGGACGGCUAGAGUCUGGUAGGGGGAUCUGGAACUCCUGGUGUAGCGGUGGAAUGCGCAGAUAUCAGGAGGAACACCGGCGGCGAAGGCGGGAUCCUGGGCCAGUACUGACGCUGAGGAGCGAAAGCGUGGGGAGCAAACAGGG